UUUCAAACUGGAUAACUACCCCCGCAUGAUGUGGCAGAAGCUAAAGGAACCCGGUUUGCUAAAAUAAAUGUGGUGAGGCUGCCCAUUCUAUACUAGUACAGUA
ensembl:snoRNA SNORA66 Small nucleolar RNA SNORA66